UCUGACAGACUCGAAAUGUUCGUCUAUUCUGCUGUGUUGACUCGAUUUUACAGUGUGAUUCUAGAAACGAGUGGGUAAGUGCGGGGUAGUAGAAAUAACUCAGUCCCAACAAACCUUAAUCGAUAAUAACUCACAACAUGUGUUAUUUAAAUACCUUCAAUCAAGGACAUGAAGAAUAUAAAGACAGUUGCCCUAAUGGGCUCUGGUGUGACAACCGAAUUCGUCGUGCGCUUGCGCUCCCUGAGAUGUUCCAUCGGUAGAGUUAAGAACUUAUUGCAGAACAUCAGAGAGUUACCGAUUUCGACGUGAUGCUGACUGCAUUCGCCUUCCGAGUAACACAGUCUUCGCAAUGGUGGUUGGAGGUGGACGAGGAGGAGGACGAGAAAGAGGAGGCGAACAAGGUGAAAGAGGAGGACGAGGAUUUGUGCUCGGUAUAACCUGAGGUGGUUAUUGGUGGUUAUUGGUGGUUGUUGGGGGCGGUUGGCGGUGGUCGGAGGUGGACGAGGAGGAGGACGAGAAAGAUGAGGAAAACAAGGUGGACGAGGAGGGCGAGGAUUUGUGCUCGGUAUAACCCGAGGUGGUUAUCAGUGGUUGUUGGAGGUGGUCGGAGA
rnacentral:lncRNA from 1 species